UACGUAGGCAGCAAGCGUUGUUCGGAGUUACUGGGCGUAAAGGGGGUGUAGGCGGUUCUCUAAGUUUGGUGUGAAAUCUCCCGGCUCAACUGGGAGGGUGCGCCGAAAACUGGAGAGCUAGAGUACUGGAUGGGAGAGUGGAAUUCCUGGUGUAGCGGUGAAAUGCGUAGAUAUCAGGAGGAACACCGGUGGUGUAGACGGCUCUCUGGACAGUAACUGACGCUGAGACACGAAAGCGUGGGUAGCAAACAGG
rnacentral:rRNA from 1 species